GCUGGGUGUGGUGGCGCAUGCCUGUAGUCCCAGCUACCGGGGAGGCUGAGGCUGGAGGAUCGCUUGAGUCCAGGAGUUCUGGACUGCUGUGCGCUAUGCCGAUCGGGUGUCCGCACUAAGUUCGGCAUCAAUAUGGUGACCUCCCGGGAGCGGGGGACCACCAGGUUGCCUAAGGAGGGGUGAACUGGCCCAGGUCGGAAACGGAGCAGGUCAAAACUCCCAUGCUAGCCGGGCUUGGUGGCUCAGCCUGUAAUCCCGCGCCUUU
rnacentral:SRP_RNA from 1 species